rnacentral:rRNA from 1 species
GAUGAACGCUGGCGGCGUGCCUAAUACAUGCAAGUCGAGCGAACAGAUAAGGAGCUUGCUCCUUUGACGUUAGCGGCGGACGGGUGAGUAACACGUGGGUAACCUACCUAUAAGACUGGAAUAACUCCGGGAAACCGGGGCUAAUGCCGGAUAACAUUUAGAACCGCAUGGUUCUAAAGUGAAAGAUGGUUUUGCUAUCACUUAUAGAUGGACCCGCGCCGUAUUAGCUAGUUGGUAAGGUAACGGCUUACCAAGGCAACGAUACGUAGCCGACCUGAGAGGGUGAUCGGCCACACUGGAACUAAGACACGGUCCAGACUACUACGGGAGGCAGCAGUAGGGAAUCUUCCGCAAUGGGCGAAAGCCUGACGGAGCAACGCCGCGUGAGUGAUGAAGGUCUUCGGAUCGUAAAACUCUGUUAUUAGGGAAGAACAAAUGUGUAAGUAACUGUGCACGUCUUGACGGUACCUAAUCAGAAAGCCACGGCUAACUACGUG